GUGGGUAUAGCUCAACAGGUAGAGUGCAUGCUUAGCAUGCUUGAGGUCCUGGGUUCAAUCCCCAGUACUUCCU
rnacentral:tRNA from 1 species